UACGGGGGGAGCAAGCGUUGUUCGGAUUUACUGGGCGUAAAGGGCGCGUAGGCGGUCAGCACAAGUCAGUUGUGAAAUCUCCGGGCUUAACUCGGAAAGGUCAACUGAUACUGUGCGACUAGAGUGCGGAAGGGGCAACUGGAAUUCUCGGUGUAGCGGUGAAAUGCGUAGAUAUCGGAAAGAACACCAAGGGCGAAGGCACUCUGCUGGGCCGAAACUGACACUGAGAGACGAGAGCUAGGGGAGCAAAUGGG
rnacentral:rRNA from 1 species